GCAAUUGCGUAAUUUUGACGAAUUUUUUUUACGAAUAUUUGCGUAUGACCAGAGAAACAUUUAAUCUACUUCUCAGUAAAUUUAUAGAAAAAUUAACUCAUUGGAUUCUGUAAAAAAGCAUAGCAAGCUGAAAAACGACUAGCAAUUAAUAUUUGUCCCAUUUUUUUCUUCUGUAAUGCCUGGCGCCUACUCGCUAUAAUUCGCCUUCUAUACAUUUACUAUGAAACUGCAUCUAUUGACGAAAAGCCGCGGCGCGCCGAUUCAAAUUUACCGAGCACAACGCUCGUCAGGCGAAUUACUGUGGCGACGCGUUUCGACUCGACUCGGCGCGCCUCAGUCAACGCAAGGUAGCCCGGGGCCGCGACACUUCGUUUCAUAGUAAACAUAAGGCAAUAAGGUGUCGACUACGGUGAAAUCGCGUCGAAUCGAGUUGCCUUGAAUUUGCUCCGUGUGCGUUCAUUACAGACGAAUUAUUGCGAUUCGAUUCGGUUCUCCUGUCGACGCCAACCUUAAGUACGCCGCCUGUCUGCGGAUGUAGCUUUACAUCUGUGCUACUAGUUGUCGCAUGCAUUGUCACUAUAAAUGUCAAAACUAACUACUAACAUUUAUAAGGCUUCAAGUCGGUCUCGGAAAUAUAUUUUGGGUUUUGCACAUCAAUGUUUAAAGUCGAUACACAAGUACAUUAUAGGAAGUAAAAAUAUGGUUGUCGAAGAGAAUAAACUUGUCUGACUCACCAAAACUAACCGUUGUUGAGAAUGAAAAGAGUUACACAUUCCCGACGAUAUAGAUGUAAACCUGCUGACGCGGCAGUGGGCGCCGUCAACAGCUACGCCCGCCAGACUUGCGGCCCCACGGCGUCCUUUUAAGCGCAAGUAAUCACAGCUAACCCUCCAAGAUCAAUAGUAACCUAUACGGAGUGAGCCCUGAAAUACGUACUAAAACUGAACGGUAAGUAAUUUAGCCUUAAUUAUUAUUUUCAAGCGGUUUGAUACAAGACAUUGUAGACAAAAACUGUUUGAAUGCAA